rnacentral:lncRNA from 1 species
GGUGAGUGUGAUUAGCCGUUACCAGCCGUUUGAAAAUGUGCAGCUUCUGACAUCACAGGUGGGCGUGUCCACCUAGAUGUGUGCAGGAUAGAUCAGUCCACUAGCCUACCCAGUGGACUGUAGCAAACGUUGCUCAUCAAUCCGUCAUACAUCUAAAUUUGUUCAGACGUUCAGACUUUUACCGUUCAAAUCUGUACUUGUUUGUACAUAAAACUCUUUCAAAUAUUCAUAUGCACCACUGGCUUCAGCGGUAGCUCCGUUGUCAUUAUUGUUUUAAGAGGCCAUGCUGGCAUGCCUGUUGCAGUUAAUCCACAGGAGCCGGUAAACAGUGCGUGAGCGUCGUUCAACGUUCACAAAAUAUAUGAGAGCGUUCAAUGAACGCCGCUCUUAUAGCGCGUUCAUGCACCCCACUGGCUGGCAACAUGAGGUCUCUGGUUCAGGUGGAGGAGUUGGGUUAGAGGAUAGACUGGACCAGGUUUUGUUUGUUAUGUAAGGCUAACUUUAUCUACUCUAUAACCGUCCAGGUGGAGCUGCUGGAGAAAGAACACCUGGUCCCUCAUCCACACCUCUCCUCUCUCUGGAGCCUGUACGUUCAACCCAUUAUUUGUGGUCUCUGUGUCAUUAAUAAUAAACUGUUAUUUCGUCUUUGUUAUUAUUAUUAUUUUUAAAUUUUGCAGUUACACCGUUGUACUAAUUAAUUGUAGGUCUUAGUCAAAUUAUAUGAAGUGUAUUUGUACAGUGCUAUCUUUUAUGUAGUAGAAUGACAAAGGACUUAAUGCAGUGGUAACAGUAUGGAUGAACUGUGUGUUUGAACACAGCCUGCAGGUCUAGAGACAUCCAUCCCUCCAGCUCCCUCCAGUGAAACACAGCCUGCAGGUCUAGAGACAUCCAUCCCACCAGCUCCCUCCAGUGAAACACAGCCUGCAGGUCUAGAGACAUCCAUCCCUCCAGCUCCCUCCAGUGAAACACAGCCUGCAGGUCUAGAGACAUCCAUCCCUCCAGCUCCCUCCAGCGAAACACAGCCUGCAGGUCUAGAGACAUCCAUCCCUCCAGCUCCCUCCAGUGAAAAACAGCCUGCAGGUCUAGAGACAUCCAUCCCUCCAGCUCCCUCCAGUGAAACACAGCCUGCAGGUCUAGAGACAUCCAUCCCUCCAGCUCCCUCCAGUGGAACACAGCCUGCAGGUCUAGAGACAUCCAUCCCUCCAGCUCCCUCCAGUGAAACACAGCCUGCAGGUCUAGAGACAUCCAUCCCUCCAGCUCCCUCCACUGAAACACAGCCUGCUGAAGAAACUACACCACUAAUGUCCAGUGAAUCUCCUGCACCAACCGGGGACCAACAAGAACACACUUCAAGAACAAGUACCCCUGAUGUAACUAUGGAUGGUCAUGAUGAUGACCAGAGUCUGGAUGCCCUCGCCUACCGGUCUGGUACUGGACAGCUAGACAUUGAGAUGGGUCCAGUCCAAAAGCUGCCCAAAGAACGUAACAGGAUUCUUUAA